rnacentral:rRNA from 1 species
CUGGCUCAGAGCGAACGCUGGCGGCAGGCUUAACACAUGCAAGUCGAGCGGGCCCUUCGGGGUCAGCGGCGGACGGGUGAGUAACGCGUGGGAACGUGCCUUCUGGUCUGGAAUAACCCUGGGAAACUAGGGCUAAUACCGGAUACGCCCUUUUGGGGAAAGGUUUACUGCCGGAAGAUCGGC